rnacentral:snoRNA from 1 species
UGGUCAAUGAUGACGUGACUGACCACUGCGCAAUCUUGAGUUCUGGGAGCUAGGUGAUGGAGCAUGUUCUGAGAACGGACUGAGGCCG